UACGUAGGGGGCAAGCGUUGUCCGGAAUCAUUGGGCGUAAAGCGCGUGUAGGCGGCUCGAUAAGUCCGUUCUGAAAGUCCAGGGCUCAACCCUGGGAUGCCGGUGGAUACUGUCGGGCUCGAGUCCGGAAGAGGAGUGUGGAAUUCCUGGUGUAGCGGUGAAAUGCGCAGAUAUCAGGAGGAACACCAAUGGCGAAGGCAGCACUCUGGGACGUGACUGACGCUGAGACGCGAAAGCGUGGGGAGCAAACAGG
rnacentral:rRNA from 1 species